AACGCAUAUUGCGCUCAAGCCCUCGGGCAAGAGCAUGUCUGCCUCAGCGUCGGUUUACACCCUCACCCCUCCCAACUUGUUGGGUGUGCUUGCUUUAUUGGCAAGCCGUUGGGGUGGAUCUGGCUUCCCCAAUCAGCCAUCAGGCAGAUUGGGUUGGCUGAAGUGCAGAGGCUUAAGCAAGGACCCGAUAUGGGCUUCAACUGGAUAGGUAGCACCGGCUUCUGCCGACUACACGAAGUUGUUGCUUGUGGCUCUUGCUAGAGGCCAGGCAGGAACGUGCCUUUGGCAUGUCUAAACUUUCGACCUGAGCUCAGGCAAGAUUACCCGCUGAACUUAA
rnacentral:misc_RNA from 1 species